CGACUGGUACGGACUUGUGAACGGCCAUGUUUUCUUCUGGCUUUCGAUGGAGCGGGUGAAUCGUCACCUGCGGGCUCUCAGGAAGCGCCCCCAGAUACUGCUGACCUUCGAUGGAUGGCGGCUCGCCGAGGCUUAUUCCGAGACGGUGUUCGUGACGCCGUUCAAUGUCGGGGCAGCACUCCAAGGGGAAGGCGGACUUUCGUGCCGGUGCGGGAAUGGCAAAAGCGGGCGUGGACGUCG
rnacentral:misc_RNA from 1 species